rnacentral:sRNA from 1 species
GGCUUCGCUCGCUCUAACGCUCGUUUAGUAGUUUCCUUACGAGUGGAGUGCAUAAGCCCCUUUAGAGAGAGAUAGGGGCGAGUACUACACGAGCUCGUAAGUCAAGUACGGAACGAGCGAAGGAGAGCGACCUCAUCUUGCUUGCUUCUGGCGAAGCUUCUAGAAGGCCCACCACUUCACUUCUUCCGAUUCCGAAUAGGAGCGAUAGCGAAGCCGUAUAAAGGCAAAGAGCUCGUAUAGCUCGCAAUAGCGAGCCUACUUAUAGCUUUGCUUUUUUUUCUUUACUUUCCUUGUUAAGGUCCCGCGGUAAAGUAAAGAAGAUCAUCAGUAAGAGUGGUUGCUAUUGACUUCUCGAGUAUGCAAGGCCCUUUUUUCGUCUUUUUCGGCCUGUUGGUACUUGUCGAAUUGAAACUCGAUAAUCAGAAUAUUCGCCAACAUUACCUAUUUUUUUAGUGGAUUCGGGGCAACCCCGGGGUAAGUAAGUACGUGAUUUCAAAUUGCAUUUUAUAAGCAUAUGAUCCUCCUUUUACUGUUAAAGUACCAUCUCCGCCUUUGCUAUCUAUGCUUCCUGGUCGCUCAUUCUUCUACUUGACUUCCAGCUACUCUGCUCUGAGCUUAAGAAAGGUUCAAAAGUAGCUUUGGUUGCCGCUAAAAUCGGAUGUGAUUUUAGUAGUUUUGAAUUCCAGAACAGGUCUCCUUUCGGGAACUCUCUUCUCUAGGGAUUCCUAUUCUAUUUCUAUUGACUCUUCGCCGUCUACAACACAAAAAGUUUUGGUAACUUACUUACAGAUUGUAUCUUAAAUAAAAGAAAGAUCAACAUCCUUUAAGCUAAGACUAAGGAAUGGGGGGAAGGUGCUGACCGAUGUCGAUUAGGAAGCAGCUCCUGUUGUAAAGAAGUGAGGCAGCGAAGAAGAAGCAUUUUAGCAUUCACCUGUCCGUCCUUCUUUAUGGAAUGCUCAAGCCUAGUGAGAACUCAAGUCGAUUCGAAUGACUGGAUCCGCUGGAACUAAGGCUAUUUCCAACAUCUGCCCGGCGGAAUAGGAAGGUGCUUAAGCUGAAAGAGUGGUCAGUGAGGCUCAAUUCUUUGUAUUGAUUCCAAGACCCAGGGCAUAAGGAAUUCACUAAGUAUAAUAAGAUUCUCCUUUUGAUUCAAUAGAAGGGGAUGCCCCCAAUGUGGUAAUAGCCGGUAGAGACCUACGUUAUUCACAAUAGGUGAACUUGCUAGAAUGCGGUUUAAUAAACUUAUAUAGGUAACUGGCUUUAAAGCUCUAUCCCCCUACGUCAGCUGGCUUAAAAAGCAAUUUAUCCUUAACUGGUUCAACUCGGUAAAUUCAAAGAAGUCCCAACCACGAGGCUUUGCCGCGAGAGUUUCGACAUUAGUGAUUUGCUCUGAAUCAGGCCCCUAAACCAAGGCAAAUAGCCCAUGAUACAUAUGAAUCCGACAGAUCGGAAUCGGAACCGGAUGGAGGGGACCGAACUUGAAGAGCUAAUUUCCCGCCUUCCAAAAGAAGAAGUCAGAAGCGUAAUAGGCUUUGACUCGAUUCUCCGCCCCUAAGCUACUUCCAGUUCCAGAACAGGCCCUUCCAUCAGUCCAUUCUCAAGCAGAGGCAGGAAGCCGUAUAACACCCGACACCAAAAAGCGCACUAGAAAGUUGUAUUAAAGAAAGGGCCCGAAGGGGCUUACCUGAGACCCCAUUGAACCCCUUGGGCUCGGUCAAUCAAUUCCCUAAACGAGUUCAAAAUGAAACGAAAUUAUGCUAAAGCAGAUGAUCAGGUUUUUAUUCCUUAUUCCAGGUAAGCUUUCAUAGUAGAGGAUGCAUGCAACAAGUUCAACUCUCCUCCCUUUCAAGUAAAGGGGACGAUCCAUCCAUUUAUUUGUAUUUGCCCAAUGCUUGAAGAUCGAUCGUCACAGGGGCGUGCUAAGCCCACAAGAUCUUAAGCCAGUGGUUGUUUUUCUUCCAGUUAGGCGGCUAUAGGAAAUAUCCCUUAGUUUAAUUAGUCUCUCCAACCAAAAAAACUAGUCAAAAGCCCUUUUUUUUAGUUUCACCUGAAUAUAAAGAGACCUUCUAUUGGGAGGACUACUCUUUUUGCGUAAGCCGCCUUGCUCUAAUCUUUGAAUCAUCUCUUCUCCUUUAUUGGAGGGAGUAGCCUUUGCCAAAGAAGCGCCACUCACGAUAGACCUGCAGAUACCAAGCUCAGCACACAUAUCUUAAAUUGAUAAACAAAGUAGGCAAAGCCUUAGGGUCUCUAAAGGCCCCUGGGCUACAUCCUCAUUUCUGUCAGAAUAACUGGGCUAGGGUCCAAGAGGUCUUCAUUCGAUAGAUCAAAAGACUUUAAAAAAGUGCCACAAUGGACCCGAGCCUAAACUAAACCUUUAGUGUGCUGAUCACAAAGUGUCAGAGCCCAUCCUCGGUGAAGCAGCUAAGACCAAUAAGCCUCUGCAAUACUGCCUAUAAAGUGGGAAAAUCCUUGUCAACAGGAUAAGACCAUUCCUUAUAUUUAAUUUAAUAUAAGUAAUAAAAACCUUGACAAGCUAAUUUCGCCCAUGCAGACACAUCGUUCCGGGGAGACAAACCAGGGAUGGAUAAUGCUAUCCUAGUACAAUAAUUAAUCCACUAAAUGCAUAAAAAUAAAGGACGGGUGGGGUAUAUGGCAGUGAAAGUUUAUUUAUAAAAAGCCUAGGAUAGGCUGGAGUGGAGGCGGCAUUGCGACCACAGGCUUGUCCCUCACUUCGAAUCAUCAAUCUGGUUUACAAUUCUCAUUAUUUCCCGUUACUUCAUCCUCUGAGGGUUAGGAUCUUUGGAUCGGUCUCACCUCGAUCUUGAGAUGGGGUUGGCUUAAUCUAAACUUACUUACUAUAUUUUCAAUAUAUAAUCCCCAGGGAAUUAAGGGAAUGACUUCUCAUCUAACCUUGCUUUGAACUUCCUUACUUGAGAGCGGGGGACUUACUUAUGCUAGAACCUUACAAUCUCUAUCUCUAUCACUAGAACAAGGGACUGAGCGCCCUAGUUACAGCAGGAGAAAGAGGACUCGCAGACGUGUAGGCACGUGAGUAAGAUCCCCCAUACGUCUUAAAGCCUGACCUUCAAGUCUGUUUUCCAGCAAGACAAUCCCAACAAAGCAGUGCUUUGUUGGGGUGGUCAAGAUCCGGUUGAAGAGGAAGAGAGAGUUGGAUGAAGCCUGCCAGGGUACGGAGAGAAAGAAGAAGGUGUGAUCUAAGGAAGAAAAGCCUUAUCUCGUAUCGCUAUCCGCCAAUUCCAAGGUCUUUCUCAAUAGAGCUCUACUAAUGAAAUAGGGGUGGCGAAACCAAGGCUUUCAGUCCCUCUCAAUGGGUAAAUCGGGGUAGACCAGCACUGUUAAAAGCUACUCCCAGCCAUGUUCCCGCUCGGUUUCAAGUCUAUUCCGUAGCGACUGCCCCAGGUCCUCCGCCCAACUCACGAC